rnacentral:sRNA from 1 species
AACUGCAGUUCCAGUAACCCUGUGGCUUUCCUGCUCUGUCUGUCGGUGGAGGGAUAUCUUCACUCUGAGUAUGUCAAUGGCGUGGGGCCUCCUGGGGCAUGUCCCCAGGAAGUCUGUGAGGAGACCGGGACAGUCGCAAGGGCAGAUGCUGCCAGGGACAAGCACACUGCAACCCCCCUCCUGUUGGACAGUGUCCUCCCACCCCGAGGCCAUGGGUGGGUCUGUGGAGAAGCAGAUUACCCCCAGCACACCGCAUCUUCUGGGGGGCCCCCAGCCCAAAGGUCAGUCAGCCAGGCCUCAGGCCCAGGCCCAAGGCCAAGUGAGAUAGCCCAGGCCACAGGAUAUGCUGCCAUUCUGCCAAGAGAGGCUCUUCUGGGGGCCAGGCUGGGACUGGGCCCCGGAAACCAAAACUCCGUGCCUUACCCAGCCGGGGCCCUCCUGGAGCCUUCUUGGGGUGUUGUGGCUGGGACCCCGACAGGCACCAGUGCCCUGCCAGGCCUGGUGCCCUCCUGGACCGCCUGCACGUGCCAGCCUCCCACCUGCUUCCUAAAGACAACCCUGGCCCACACCCGCAUGCGCCCGGUGCAGCCUGCCAAGGGCCAGUCGGGGGGUGCUGCGUCCUGCCAGUGUCCACCACAGCUCUGCCUGCCCUUCAGCCCAGCAGGGCUUAAUCAAAACGCAAUGCUUUGCAAGUCUUUACUGCUUGGAGGUGGCUGAGUUGGGGGUGCUGGGCAGGGGUAAGCUGGCAGGCAGUGCCAUGGCAGGCCAGGGUCCCCUCCCAUGGGGUCUGGCCCCCAUUCCAGCAUGUCCAGCCCCUGAAGUUGGAGUGAGGGGCGGUCUGCCUUUGCUGCCAAUGCCAGGUCUCUGCCCUGCAGCUGAAACUUGGCCAUCACAUCAACAGAAAACCCCUCCCAGUGCCAGCUGCCCAGUGUGGGCAGGCCCUGGGGACAAUACAGGUCCACCUGAGAGGCUGCAGGGUGACACCCAGCAGCCGCUGCCCCCUCACUGCCCACCCAGGGAGGGCAGCCUGCCCGAGCCUGCCCCCUGCCAGGUGUGUGCCCUGAGGCUGGCGGCUGGAUGCGUGGCCAAUAAAAAGCAGACCU